rnacentral:rRNA from 1 species
GAUGAACGCUGGCGGUAUGCCUAACACAUGCAAGUCGAACGGAGCACCCCUGACAGAGGUUUCGGCCAAUGGAUGGGAAUGCUUAGUGGCGGACGGGUGAGUAACGCGUGAGGAACCUGCCUUUCAGUGGGGGAUAACACAUCGAAAGAUGUGCUAAUACCGCAUAACAUAGCGAUGGGGCAUCCCAUUGCUAUCAAAGAUUUAUUGCUGAAAGAUGGCCUCGCGUCCAAUUAGCUAGUUGGUGAGGUAACGGCCCACCAAGGCGACGAUUGGUAGCCGGGACUGAGAGGUUGAACGGCCACAUUGGGACUGAGACACGGCCCAGACUCCUACGGGAGGCAGCAGUGGGGAAUAUUGCACAAUGGGGGAAACCCUGAUGCAGCAAUGCCGCGUGAAGGAUGAAAGGUUUUCGGGAUUGUAAACUUCUUUUGUACGGGACGAAACAAAUGAACGGUACCGUAAAGGAAUAAAG